UUGGAAACACCCAUACAGUUGUUGUGAAAGGCCUGCAUUGCUCAGCAACUGUUUACUUCAGAUAUUUAUCUAAAAGCAUAACAGUGUUGUAAAAUCCCAUCCUUUGUUUACAAUAGACCUUAUGCUGAUGUUCAUGGGGACGUUGAAUCAAACAACAUUAGGGUUUGUAAUAUGCAUUGCUUAAACAACGUUAAUGACUGUGAAACAUUUGUUUUGCUUGGUACUUCAUCACAGGGCUGUGUGUCAUUACUUACGAUCAGGAAUGUCCCAUCUACGUGCGUUUGGCGAAUGUAUCUGCAGAAGCAGGACAGAUAGCAGACAGGACCCUCAGGGUCUCAGACAGGAGGAAGAGGGGGGAAAUCAACGUUGAUGCGGAGAUGACAGGUGUCCCUUUAAUAUGCCAAGAUCAAUACAAAGGGUGAACAGUUGCAAGAACCGUUACAACUGAACCUUGAUCCGAGACGACACCGGAGAAGAAAAAACCUAGCGCUAAACAACUGGGUCUGCUUUGAAGAGCCUCUCGUCCUAACCUUGUUUGUCAGUGUAAAAGGCCAGGAGCCUCAUUGUUACUUCACAGAGGGCCUGUUGCUCUCCGGAGGGAUCCGUCCAUUGAGUCGGAGGGAGGGAUAUGAAGAUCGAUGGCUAGGCCUCUGGACACAACAAAAGCCUCCUUUAAUCCUGCUCUGGGUUAGCAUAUGCUUCGCUAGUUUGCCAAAGGCCAUUACUCAAUUCCCUUUCUUCCUCCCUCCUUUUCUUUGGAGGCAUCUUGCUUUUCUUCCCCGUCAAUCGUUCCCUUUCUCCAGCCAUGAAAAGUGGUCUUUAGGUCUGGCCCCUCCUUCAGUGCUGUCAUACAGGGAUCUAACCACUUGGCAGAUAGUGUACCAGACCUUCUUGUGAUGACCUAUAGCUCACUGUUGGUUUGUUUAUUUGAUGCAUGGAGGCUUUGUGGGCUGAGGACAUAUGGUCUUCGAAAACAACAAAUAAAGGAAAUCGCUUUCCAAAAAGUUACUAACUAUAACCCUGACACACUUUCUAACUAAAGGAACAGUAACAUUUACCUGCACUCUCAGAAAAAAAGAUGCAAACGCUGUCACUGGGGCAGUACCCUUUCAGAAAUAACACCCUUGUAUCCAAAAGGUCUAUAUUAGUACAUCAAAUGUACAUACAAAUAAAUACCGUAUCUAAAUGGAACAUAUUAGGACCAGUGACCACACGGUUCUCAAAUACUUUCGCUUCAAAUCUGCUUAAUCGCGGCCUCUGGCCAUUCAGAAAUACCGGUUUGUUGGCAGAAUCCUCUAAUGAUGCAGACGCCGAAGAAGCGGCAAGCACGAGUGAUUUACGUGUCAAGUCAAUGCAAAGACGUGAAUAGGCAUCCUGCACGAAUGGCACUUAACUCGCAAAUUAAGCGAUGCCACGUGAUUUGAAAAAUCAAUAGAAAAAUCUGAACUUCGGCGGAUUUUUGUGCCGCGUUAACCAAUCAGGAGCUUGCUCUAGCAGUGACGUGAUUACAGGAAGCGAGUGGAGGCAGAAAAACAAAACAACAAUUGGGGACAAUCAUCAUCGCUACACGAGACAUCUUCAUACUUUUACAGGAAUUAAAAGGAUCUUGUUUGGAAGAAAGUUAGUGAAGAGGUCAAACAAUCUGGUAAGUUUACUCAAUUUAAGCUAUAUAAGCCCCU